GAUGAAGAACGCAGCGAAAUGCGAUACUUGGUGUGAAUUGCAGAAUCCCGUGAACCAUCGAGUCUUUGAACGCAAGUUGCGCCCGAAGCCAUCAGGUUGAGGGCACGUCUGCCUGGGCGUCACAUAUCGUUGCUCGAUGCCUAUCGCAUUGCGAUAGGACUUAGGGCGAAUGAUGGCUUCCCGUGAGCGUUGUUGCCUCGCGGUUGGUUGAAAAUCGAGUCCUUGGUAGGGUGUGCCAUGAUAGAUGGUGGUCGAGUUGCACGAGACCGAUCAUGUGCAUGCUCCCCAAAAUAUGGCCUCUGUGACCCACACACGUCUUUUGACGCUCAUGACGAGACCUCAGGUCAGGCGGGGCUACCCGCUGAAUUUAAGCAUAUCAAUAAGCGGAGGA
rnacentral:misc_RNA from 1 species